rnacentral:lncRNA from 1 species
UCAUUUUAAUAUCAGAUUUUUUUUCUACAGGAACUGUGAUCACCUCACCCACCAAGUCAUUGCUACUAGAACUUCUUAGACAAGAAACAUGAAGUGAGACUGAAGUGGAUAGGCAUCCGGCAGCCAGCCAAGAUCAACACAUCACAAUAGUUCAAAACCCUAAAUCUUACUGCAUGCUAUGCAUCUCUAGAAUUUAAUAAAGCAAGAUUUGGACAGGUG